rnacentral:rRNA from 1 species
AACGAACGCUGGCGGCAGGCCUAACACAUGCAAGUCGAGCGCCCAGCAAUGGGAGCGGCAGACGGGUGAGUAACACGUGGGAACCUUCCCUAUAGUACGGAAUAGCCCAGGGAAACUUGGAGUAAUACCGCAUACGCCCGAGAGGGGAAAGAUUUAUCGCUAUAGGAUGGGCCCGCGUAGGAUUAGCUAGUUGGUGAGGUAAUGGCUCACCAAGGCGACGAUCCUUAGCUGGUCUGAGAGGACGACCAGCCACACUGGGACUGAGACACGGCCCAGACUCCUACGGGAGGCAGCAGUGGGGAAUAUUGGACAAUGGGCGCAAGCCUGAUCCAGCCAUGCCGUGUGAGUGAUGAAGGCCUUAGGGUUGUAAAGCUCUUUUGCCGGGGACGAUAAUGACGGUACCCGGAGAAUAAGUCCCGGCUAACUUCGUGCCAGCAGCGCG